GCAGGCGCGAAACCUUUACACUGCACGACAGUGCGAUAGGGGGAUCCCAAGUGCACAGGCAUAGCGCCUGUGCUUUUCGGUACCCUAAGGCGGUACCAGAAUAAGGGCUGGGCAAGACCGGUGCCAGCCGCCGCGGUAAUACCGGCAGCCCAAGUGAUGGCCGAUCUUAUUGGGCCUAAAGCGUCCGUAGCUGGCCGUACAAGUCCAUCGGGAAAUCCACCUGCUCAACAGGUGGGCGCCCGGUAGAAACUGUGCGGCUUGGGACCGGAAGGCGCGACGGGUACGUCCGGGGUAGGAGUGAAAUCCCGUAAUCCUGGACGGACCGCCGAUGGCGAAAGCACGUCGCGAGAACGGAUCCGACAGUGAGGGACGAAAGCCAGGGUCUCGAACCGGAUUAGAUACCCGGGUAGUCCUGGCCGUAAACAAUGUCUGCUAGGUGUGGCUCCCACUACGAGUGGGUGCUGUGCCGUAGGGAAGCCGCUAAGCAGACCGCCUGGGAAGUACGUCCGCAAGGAUGAAACUUAAAGGAAUUGGCGGGGGGGCACUACAACCGGAGGAGCCUGCGGUUUAAUUGGAGUCAACGCCGG
rnacentral:rRNA from 1 species